AGUGAACGCUGGCGGCAGGCCUAACACAUGCAAGUCGAGCGGCAGCGCGUCCGACCACCCUCGGGUGGUCGGAUGGCGGCGAGCGGCGGACGGGUGAGGAAUGCAUCGGAAUCUGCCUCGUUGUGGGGGGAUAACGUAGGGAAACUUACGCUAAUACCGCAUACGACCUACGGGUGAAAGUGGGGGACCUUCGGGCCUCACGCGAUGAGAUGAGCCGAUGCCGGAUUAGCUAGUUGGCGGGGUAAAGGCCCACCAAGGCGACGAUCCGUAGCUGGUCUGAGAGGAUGAUCAGCCACACUGGAACUGAGACACGGUCCAGACUCCUACGGGAGGCAGCAGUGGGGAAUAUUGGACAAUGGGGGCAACCCUGAUCCAGCCAUGCCGCGUGUGUGAAGAAGGCC
rnacentral:rRNA from 1 species